GUGAUUGGGUUUGAACCUAUUUUUAAAUAGGUGGCUUAUCUAAUUUUUAAUGGAAGAGUUUUAUUUAAAUCCAUCUUCUCCAUGUCAAAACCACACAAAAAAUAAAAGGUGGCGUCAUAUUUAUUUUAGACGUUUAAAGAGAGGAGUCCUUCUCCUUUACUCCUAUUAAUUUCCUUACAUCUUCUAUGCAUCCCUUUGAUUUGUGUGCCAUCAGAUGGUGCCUAAGGACAUGUGGGUGUGGAAGAUAUAGAGGAGUCCUUCUCUUGGAAGGAACUCCAUGCCAUAACAUAAAUGGGAUGUUGAUUUUAUUUUGGGCGUUGAAGUGGAAGAGUCCACUUCACAUUGGACUCUUGGUAUUCCAUGCCCUCCCUUUUAUUUUUAUGUACCAUAUGAUGGUAUCUGGUUAUUGUUGGCA
rnacentral:lncRNA from 1 species